AGGCCCUGCAUUCUAAGAUUUCAUAUUGGUAAGGACGAUACUGGCUUUUUAUUUGCCAGUUCUACAUUAACAGCUAUCAGAUUAUUAUAAAUUUAAGAGUCAAUCCUGGAGUGACGUGAGUAGCAGAAUGCCAAGUCUAUGAGUCGCUUGAUAACUACUGGACAUGCACAUGAGAAUAUGACGAGGAUGGUGCCUUAGAAUGGGGAUUCUCAAUCUGAGGUAACAGUGGGAACAAUUACCAUAUAACUAUUGAAGUGUUUAACUAGCCAGUAUUUUAAAAAAUACUUACUACAUCCUCAGCAUAGUCACUGAAGAAAACUAGGGAUCCAAGAAAAACAUACCAUUUAAAAAUAAUUGAUAUGGGUUUCCUUCCUUGAUAAUGGGGUUCCUGCAACACCUCAUUCAAGCACUUACAGAAUGUAUGAUUUACAAAAGCAAUAUUGUAAACAUCCUGUCAGAUCAAGAGCCUAAUUUCAUAGAGAAAGAGAGACAGGGUCGUGCUCUGCCACCCAGGCUGAGUGUAGUAACAUGAUUAUGACUCACUGCAGCCUCAAUCUCCUGGGAUCAAGUGAUCCUCCUGCCUCAGCCUCCCAAGCAGCUAGGACUCCAGGCAUGCACCAGUGCACCACUACAUCCAGGCGGAGUUAGAGAGAUGUGGCAGAAAGACAAGUCAGAGAUAUUUUAUUGCCAGAGGUAUUCAACCCGCCAUUGCUGGAGGGGGCUCAAGAAAAGCAUGAGAAGAAUGUGCACAGCCUCUAGGAGCAAAGACCAGCCCCCUGCUGACAGCCAGCAAGGAAAUAGGGACCUUAAUGCUACAAACACAAGAAACUGAACUUAGCCAGCAACCUGACUGAGCUGGGAGGCAUAUUCUUCCCUAGAGUGUCCAGUAAGAAGCACAGCCUCAUCGGCACCAUGUGAGACUCUAAGCAGGGUCUGACCGACUUCUCAACUAUAGAACUGUGAGAUAAUCAAUUUGUAUUGUUUUACACCUCUAAGAAGCAAUUAUAAACUACUAUAAUACAUGGGAGAAAGUUCGCUUUGCUGAUUAGGGAAUACAUGUACUGAUGAAAGCAAAAUACGUUUGUUUGAAAUAAAAAUAGUGCUAAAUGGG